rnacentral:rRNA from 1 species
UACGAAGGGUGCAAGCGUUAAUCGGAAUUACUGGGCGUAAAGGGUGCGUAGGCGGUUGUUUAAGUCUGUCGUGAAAUCCCCGGGCUCAACCUGGGAAUGGCGAUGGAAACUGGGCAGCUAGAGUGUGUCAGAGGAUGGUGGAAUUCCCGGUGUAGCGGUGAAAUGCGUAGAGAUCGGGAGGAACACCAGUGGCGAAGGCGACUACCUGGCCCAUUCUUGACGCUGAGGCGCGAAAGCUAGGGGAGCGAACGGG